UACGUAGGGUGCGAGCGUUGCCCGGAUUUAUUGGCGUAAAGGGCUCGUAGGCGGCCAACUAAGUCAGACGUGAAAUCCCUCAGCUUAACUGGGGAACUGCGUCUGAUACUGGAUGGCUUGGAUCCGGGAGAGGGAUGCGGAAUUCCAGGUGUAGCGGUGAAAUGCGUAGAUAUUGGGAGGAACACCAGUGGCGAAGGCGGCUCACUGGACUGGUACUGACGCUGAGGCGCGAAAGCGUGGGGAGCAAACGGG
rnacentral:rRNA from 1 species